GACGAACGCUGGCGGCGUGCUUAACACAUGCAAGUCGAACGGAAAGGCCCUGCUUUUGUGGGGUGCUCGAGUGGCGAACGGGUGAGUAACACGUGAGUAACCUGCCCUUGACUUUGGGAUAACUUCAGGAAACUGGGGCUAAUACCGGAUAGGAGCUCCUGCUGCAUGGUGGGGGUUGGAAAGUUUCGGCGGUUGGGGAUGGACUCGCGGCUUACCAGCUUGUUGGUGGGGUAGUGGCUUACCAAGGCUUUGACGGGUAGCCGGCCUGAGAGGGUGACCGGCCACAUUGGGACUGAGAUACGGCCCAGACUCCUACGGGAGGCAGCAGUGGGGAAUAUUGCACAAUGGGCGGAAGCCUGAUGCAGCAACGCCGCGUGCGGGAUGACGGCCUUCGGGCUGUAAACCGCUUUCGCCUGUGACGAAGCGUGAGUGACGGUAAUGGGUAAAGAAGCACCGGCUAACUACGUG
rnacentral:rRNA from 1 species